CGUAGCGCAGUCCGGCAAGCGCGCCUGGCUUGGGACCAGGAGGUCCGCGGUUCAAAUCCGCGCG
rnacentral:tRNA from 1 species